UACAUAGGGGGCGAGCGUUAUCCGGAAUUAUUGGGCGUAAAGCGUGCGUAGGCGGUUUGUUAAGUUCGAUGUAAAAACCCACAGCUUAACUGUGGAAGGUCAUAGAAAACUGGCAAGCUAGAGUACGGUAGAGGUAGGUGGAAUUCCAAGUGGAGCGGUGGAAUGCGUAGAUAUUUGGAGGAACACCAGUGGCGAAGGCGGCCUACUGGGCCGGAACUGACGCUGAGGCACGAAAGCGUGGGGAGCAAAC
rnacentral:rRNA from 1 species